rnacentral:rRNA from 1 species
CCCUUAGAUGUUCUGGGCCGCACGCGCGCUACACUGACGAAUGCAACGAGCUUAUAACCUUGGCCGAAAGGUCUGGGUAAUCUCCAAAUUUCGUCGUGAUGGGGAUAGAUUAUUGCAAUUAUUAAUCUUCAACGAGGAAUGCCUAGUAAGCGCAAGUCAUCAGCUUGCGUUGAUUACGUCCCUGCCCUUUGUACACACCGCUCGUCGCUCCUACCGAUUGAAUGGUCCGGUGAAGCGUUCGGACCGUGGCCUUUGGACGGUUCGCCGUCUGUUGGCUGCGGGAAGUUCGUUAAACCUUAUCAUUUAGAGGAAGGAGAAGUCGUAACA